rnacentral:misc_RNA from 1 species
AAUGAUUAAGUGUGCAAACUUGUCUUGUGAAAAUAAACGGAAAUAAAAUCGCACUUGCAGGUUCAGUAAAUUUAUUUAUUAUAAUGAUGAAACAAAUUUAUUUGAGGAUAGCAAUGGAGUUUUCAAUACGACCAGGUAGGCAAACAAAAACUCAACAUAUUGCCACUUCACAGUGUGUAUAUGCAGAUCAUCUUAUAAGAAAUCUUAUAUUUUAGUCCGUAAAUGCGUUAAAUGCAUGACAGAGAACCGACAAUAUGGUAACAGAUUGGCCAAGAAUAUCUUACAAGCGAAGCACCAAAGAAGCAAGGUUGCAAAAUUUGCAACUAGGCUCAAAUGAGAUCACAUGCAGUCCUAUAGAAAGUGAACUCCAACGUGCUUGAAAUGCACAAUAAAUGGGAAAAAAAGUUGAAUAAAAUUGGGUGGCUUUCAAAACGCUGGAUUGUAAAACUAAGUAUUUCAUCUUGGUCCUACAC